UCUGGAAUUAACUAAAACCCAAGUGACUGA
rnacentral:piRNA from 1 species